rnacentral:rRNA from 1 species
CCUACGGGUGGCAGCAGUGAGGAAUAUUGGUCAAUGGGCGGGAGCCUGAACCAGCCAAGCCGCGUGAGGGAAGAAGGUACAGCGUAUCGUAAACCUCUUUUGUCAGGGAACAAAGGCGGGGACUAGUCCCCGGAUGAGGGUACCUGAAGAAAAAGCAUCGGCUAACUCCGUGCCAGCAGCCGCGGUAAUACGGAGGAUGCGAGCGUUAUCCGGAUUUAUUGGGUGUAAAGGGUGCGCAGGCGGCCUGUUAAGUCAGCGGGAAAAGCCCGGGGCUCAACCCCGGCGAGCCGUUGAAACUGGCGGGCUGGAGUUGGAGAGAAGUACGCGGAAUGCGCGGUGUAGCGGUGAAAUGCUUAGAUAUCGCGCAGAACCCCGAUUGCGAAGGCCGCGUACCGGCUCCACACUGACGCUGAGGCACGAAAGCGUGGGUAUCGAACAGGAUUAGAUACCCUAGUAGUC